rnacentral:SRP_RNA from 1 species
GCUGGAUGUGGUGGCACAUACCUGUAGUCCUCAACUACUCUAGAGGCUGAGGUCAGAAGAGUCCAGUUUGGGGCUGUACAGGGCUGUGCCUACUGGGUGCCUGCACUAAGUUCCAUUUCAGUAUGGUUACCUCCCUGGAGUGGGGCACCCUUAGGCUGCAUAAGGAGGAGUAAACCAGGCCAGGGCAGAAACAGAGUAGGUCAAAACUCCCAUGCUGCUCAGCAAGGGAUCUCGCCUGUGACCAGCCACUGCACUCCAGCCUGAGCAACAUGGUAACAUUCU